GGGAAUGUUACUUAGUAGUAGAGUGCUUGCCUAGCAUGCAUGAAGCCCUAGGUUCGAUUCCUCAGUACCA
rnacentral:tRNA from 1 species